rnacentral:lncRNA from 1 species
AUUUUGCACUUGUUUUUCCUUAAUGAUACAUGAUGUUGAGUAGCUUUUGAUGCAUUCAUUGACCAUUUGGAAACUAGAAAUAAAUUAUAUUUAUUGACCUUUCUGCAAAUUAGGAAAAAGCCUCCAUUUAUCAAGAUGCCCCAAAGCCGUCUUCUGGGAAAACUGUCACAAAAACCUUACAUAUCUACAAUGACUUGAAGGUUCAUGACAGUGUCUGGGGAUGUCUGGUGCCCAACCUGAUGUGCGCAGUGAACCGUAGUCCCUGAUAGACACCACUGCAGACAUUAAAGAAAGUGACAGAAAAUCUUGGGAUGUCUGAGCCACUGCCAGACGGCGACAGAUCUCGCAAGACCUGCCUCCCCUCUCAUCUCUCAGGAACUCAGCUGAUUGAAGGAAGCCACCUGUUCCCAGGCCGCCGCCGCUCCCUGUAAUCAAGAAAUAACCACGCUGGGGAGAAAUAUCUCUUUGUUGGUUCUGUUUCCGUCUUAUGUGGACUCUGACAACAGAGCACAUGUCAUAUUCUCUAAACACCUUCUCAGACUGUCAGCCGGAGAGGUUAAACUGAACCAUUUCUUUUUUGCUUCAUGCUCAAGGAGACCUGCGACACCUAAUUUUAAGACUUUGCUAAGCAGACACCCAUGUAGAGGUACGUAACGAUUUUUCAUUUGAGACCAGUACCCAUGUAGUUAGAAGAAUCUUUUACUUCUCAGGAAAGCAAUUAGUAGUAACAUUAAAUCCAAAGGUCCUUUUUAUUUUUCUUUUUUAAUAACAAGAGUUUUUGCCGUGCUCUUUCUGUUUGAAACUACACUCAGUGCUCUGCAAUUUAUGUUUUAGCUUCCAUAAUGUUAGCGAGAUAUUAAUAUAUGCAUGAAGAGUUGCAGUGAACGUAAUUACAGUGGCAAAGUGAUAAACACAAAGCUAUUCUGCCUGGUAAUAUUAUGUAUUUAACAGGUUUAUUUGUUCAACAGUUUUAACUUUAAUUAUGUUUUGCCAUUUGGGAUUUUUAGACAUGUAGCCAUCAUAGCCCUUCUCUGGCUAUUAGUCUAAGAAGAUUGCA